AACAAGGUUUCCGUAGGUGAACCUGCGGAAGGAUCAUUGUUGAGAUCACAUAAUAAUUGAUCGAGUUAAUCCAGAGGAUCGGUUUACUUUGGUCACCCAUGGGCGCUUGCUAUUGCGGUGACCUAGAUUUGCCAUGGAGAGCCUCCUUGGGAGCUUUCUUGCCGGCGAUCUAACCCUUGCCCGGCGCGGUUUUGCGCCAAGUCAUAUGACACAUAAUUGGUGAAGGGCAUAGCCCUUCGUGAAUUCAAGGAGGGGGGGCGGCAUGUGGCCUUGACCCUGCACUCGCUCUCCCCCUCUCAAAUUAUUUUCUGAACAACUCUCAGCAACGGAUAUCUCGGCUCUUGCAUCGAUGAAGAACGCAGCGAAAUGCGAUAAGUGGUGUGAAUUGCAGAAUCCCGUGAACCAUCGAGUCUUUGAACGCAAGUUGCGCCCGAGGCCAUCAGGCCAAGGGCACGCCUGCCUGGGCAUUGCGAGUCAUCUCUCUCCCUCAAUGAGGCUGUCCAUGCAUACUGUUCAGCCGGUGCGGAUGUGAGUUUGGCCCCUUGUUCUUUGGUGCUGGGGGUCUAAGAGCAGCAGGGGCUUUUGAUGGUCCUAAAUUCGGCAAGAGGUGGACGAAUCAGGCUACAACAAAACUGUUGUUGUGCGAAUGCUCCAGGUUGUCGUAUUAGAUGGGCCGGCAUAAUCCAGAGACCCUUGGGAACCCCAUUGGAGGCCCAUCAACCCAUGAUCAGUUGAUGGCCAUUCGGUUGCGACCCCAGUCAGGUGAGGCAAC
rnacentral:rRNA from 1 species